UACGGGAGGCAGCAGUGGGGAAUAUUGCACAAUGGGCGAAAGCCUGAUGCAGCUAUGCCGCGUGUAUGAAGAAGGCCUUAGGGUUGUAAAGUACUUUCAUCGGGGAGGAAAAACAAAACUAAUAAUUUUAUUUCUUGACGUUACCCGAAAAAGAAGCACCGGCUAACUCCGUGCCAGCAGCCGCGGUAAUACGGAGGGUGCUAGCGUUAAUCAGAAUUACUGGGCGUAAAGAGCACGUAGGUGGUUUUUUUAAGUCAGAUGUGGAAAUCCCUGGGCUUAACCUAGGAACUGCAUUUUGAAACUGAAAUACUAGAGUAUCGUAGAGGGAGGUAGAAUUCUAGGUGUAGCGGUGAAAUGCGUAGAUAUCUGGAGGAAUACCUGUGGCGAAAGCGGCCUCCUAAACGAAUACUGACACUGAGGUGCGAAAGCGUGGGGAGCAAACAGGGAUUAGAUACC
rnacentral:rRNA from 1 species